CAUCGCCUGGAGAAGCAGCAUCGCUGCCAUUACCUUUCGGGACUGGCCAUGAGACAUACAUAUAUCUCUAUUCUGUUAUAUUUUUGUUAAAACUAAGCAUAGAGUAGUUGUGUUUCAUGUUUUUACCCAACCACUUCCGACUACAAGGAGUGGGUGGCUAGUGUUAAGUGUGACGAAGGAGAUUUUUUUGGGUGAAAAUCUUCUUAACUUGUUGGAGCAAACCAAUCAUGUUUGUAAAUUCCUAAGUAAAUGUCACAUAGAAAGCCCUUUGGGUGUUGAUGGUUCCUUUAGAAAGUUCAAUCCUUUCAGGAAGUUCCUCCACCUCAUGAUGGUCUCAUAUUCCAUCGCCUGGAAAAGCAGCAUCGCUGCCGUUACCUUUCGGGACUGGCCAUGAGACAUACAUACACCUCUUUUCUUUUAUUUUUUUAUUUAAACCAAGCAUAGAGUAGAUGUGUUUCAUGUUUUACCCAGCUGCUUCUUGCUACAAUCAGUGGGUGGCUAGUGUUAAGUGUGACCAAGGAGGUUUUUCUGGGUGUCUUCAGAUGAGCGACUUCUUGUCUUUGUUGUUUGCUUUAGGGAAAACAAAAGAGACCGAUGUAGGA
rnacentral:lncRNA from 1 species